rnacentral:tRNA from 1 species
GUUAACUAAGAGUUUGUAGGAUCGAGGCCUUCCCAUCUAG